rnacentral:rRNA from 1 species
UAUAUGAUCCUUGUCGGUAGAGCACUAACUGGCCUAGGGGGCUUCACAGCCUACCGAAGCUUAUUAAACUCCGAAUGGCAAGGAAUCGAGUACGGGAGUCAGACAGCGACAGCUAAGUGCCGUUGUCAAAAGGGAAACAGCCCAGAUCUACAGCUAAGGUCCCCAAGUGCAGGUUAAGUGGAAAAGGAUGUGACAAUGCAUAGACAACCAGGAUGUUGGCUCAGAAGCAGCCACGCAUUAAAAGAGUGCGUAAUAGCUCACUGGUCGAGUGAUGUUGCGCCGAAAAUUAACGGGGCUCAAACCUGCCACCGAAGCUUAGGAAUACGCGAUGCGUAUUGGUAGAGGAGCAAUGUAUAUGCGCAGAAGCCGUACCGGAAGGAGCGGUGGAGUAUAUAGAAGAGAGAAUGCCGGCAUAAGUAGCGAGAGCGGAGCGAGAAACUCCGCCGUCGAAAGUCUGAGGUUUUCCGGGGAAGGUUCGUCCGCCCGGAGUAAGUCGGGACCUAAGCGGAGGCCGAAAGGCGUACGUGAUGGACAGCGGGUUGAUAUUCCCGCACUACCGAGAGAGUAAAUGAAGCAGUGACACGGAAAGAUAGAAGAAGCGCGCAGAUGGAAAAGCGCGUCCAAGCAGUGAGGGAGGCUUGUAGUAAAGUACGCAAGUCAUAAUCCUGGGCUGUGACGGGGAGUGGACCAAGGAAACGAAGUCUUCGAAUCUACGCCGGCGAGAAAAGCUGCUAAAUAUUUCGAGGUACCCGUACCGCAAACCGACACAGGUAGACGAGAAGAAAAUUCUAAGACGAACGGGAGAACCCUUGUUAAGGAACUCGGCAAAAUGACCCCGUAACUUCGGGAGAAGGGGAGCCAUGGAGACAUGGCCGCAGUAAAGAGGCCCAAGCGACUGUUUAUCAAAAACACAGGUUUCUGCUAAGGCGUAAGCCAAGGUAUAGGAGCUGACUCCUGCCCAGUGCCGGAAGGUCAAGGGGAUCCGUCAACGCAAGUGAAGCGGUGAACUUAAGCCCCGGUGAACGGCGGCCGUAACUAUAACGGUCCUAAGGUAGCGAAAUUCCUUGUCGGGUAAGUUCCGACCCGCACGAAUGGCGUAACGAUUUGGGCACUGUCUCAACAGGGGGCCCGGCGAAAUUGUAGUAUACGUGAAGAUGCGUAUUAACCCGCGACUGGACGGAAAGACCCCGUAGAGCUUUACUGUAACUUGAUAUUGAAUCUCGGCAAUUGAUGCACAGAAUAGGUGGGAGGCUAAGAAGCAGACGUUUCGGCGUCUGUGGAGCCAACUUUGGGAUACCACUCUUCGAUUGCUGCGAUUCUAACCGAUACCGUUGAAGCACGGAUCGGGACAUUGUCAGGUGGGCAGUUUGACUGGGGCGGUCGCCUCCUAAAAUGUAACGGAGGCGCCCAAAGGUUCCCUCAGAAUGGUUGGAAAUCAUUCGACGAGUGUAAAGGCAUAAGGGAGCUUAACUGUGAGACAGACAUGUCGAACAGAUGCGAAAGCAGGGCUUAGUGAUCAGGUGGUAUGAGAAUGGAAUUGCCAUCGCUUAACGGAUAAAAGUUACCUCGGGGAUAACAGGCUUAUCUCCCCCAAGAGUUCACAUCGACGGGGAGGUUUGGCACCUCGAUGUCGGCUCGUCGCAUCCUGGGGCUGAAGCAGGUCCCAAGGGUUUGGCUGUUCGCCAAUUAAAGCGGCACGCGAGCUGGGUUCAGA